rnacentral:rRNA from 1 species
AUUGAACGCUGGCGGCAGGCCUAACACAUGCAAGUCGAACGAGUGGCGGACGGGUGAGUAAUGUCUGGGAAACUGCCCGAUGGAGGGGGAUAACUACUGGAAACGGUAGCUAAUACCGCAUACCAUCGGAUGUGCCCAGAUGGGAUUAGCUAGUAGGUGGGGUAACGGCUCACCUAGGCGACGAGCCCUAGCUGGUCUGAGAGGAUGACCAGCUACACUGGAUCGUAGACACGGUCCAGACUCCUCCGGGAGGCAGCAGUGGGGAAUAUUUCACUAGUGGCGCAAGCCUGAUGCAGCCAUGCCGCGUGUAUGAAGAAGGCCUUCGGGUUGUAAAGUACUUGCAGCGAGGAGGCGUUACUCGCAGAAGAAGCACCGGCUAACUCCGUGCCAGCAGCCGCGGUAAUAC